AACGAACGCUGGCGGCAUGCCUAACACAUGCAAGUCGAACGAGACCUUCGGGUCUAGUGGCGCACGGGUGCGUAACGCGUGGGAAUCUGCCCUUGGGUUCGGAACAACAGUUGGAAACGACUGCUAAUACCGGAUGAUGACUUCGGUCCAAAGAUUUAUCGCCCAAGGAUGAGCCCGCGUAGGAUUAGCUUGUUGGUGAGGUAAAGCUCACCAAGGCGACGAUCCUUAGCUGGUCUGAGAGGAUGAUCAGCCACACUGGGACUGAGACACGGCCCAGACUCCUACGGGAGGCAGCAAUGGGGAAUAUUGGACAAUGGGCGAAAGCCUGAUCCAGCAAUGCCGCGUGAGUGAUGAAGGCCUUAGGGUUGUAAAGCUCUUUUACCCGGGAUGAUAAUGACAGUACCGGGAGAAUAAGCCCCGGCUAACUCCGUGCCAGCAGCCGCGGUAA
rnacentral:rRNA from 1 species